rnacentral:rRNA from 1 species
GACGAACGCUGGCGGCGUGCUUAACACAUGCAAGUCGAACGAUGAAGCCUUUCGGGGUGGAUUAGUGGCGAACGGGUGAGUAACACGUGGGUAAUCUGCCCUGCACUCUGGGAUAAGCCCGGGAAACUGGGUCUAAUACCGGAUAUGACUUUCUUACGUCAUGUAGGAAGGUGGAAAGUUCGGCGGUGCAGAUGAACCGCGGCCUAUCAGCUUGUUGGUGGGGUAAGUGGCCUACCAAGGCGACGACGGGUAGCCGGCCUGAGAGGGCGACCGGUCACACUGGGACUGAGACACGGCCCAGACUCCUACGGGAGGCAGCAGUGGGGAA